UACGUAGGGUGCAAGCGUUGUCCGGAAUUAUUGGGCGUAAAGAGCUCGUAGGCGGUUUGUUGCGUCGGCUGUGAAAUCCCGAGGCUCAACCUCGGGUCUGCAGUCGAUACGAGCAAACUAGAGUGUUGCAGGGGAGACUGGAAUUCCUGGUGUAGCGGUGAAAUGCGCAGAUAUCAGGAGGAACACCGGUGGCGAAGGCGGCUUGCUGGGCCUUACCUGACGCUGAGGAGCGAAAGCGUGGGGAGCGAACAGG
rnacentral:rRNA from 1 species